rnacentral:lncRNA from 1 species
AUGUUGCACUCACAGCUGCCCCAACGCCCAGGCGCACCUCCCACCAGCACCCCCGGGAGGGCAGGGACCCUCCCCACCAGCUCCACGGUGUGGAGGACACAGCCCAGCAGCAAGCAAGGCACAUCCUUCGAGUUCUUCAGACGCAGAGAAGUUAGGAGAGAGGGAGGGGGAGGCCCUAGCAGAGCAUGGACCCUCCGGGACCCCAGCCUCCUGUUUGUGCUACUGGGCCAGGGGUCCUGGACAGAGAGAAGGAUGGGCAGACAGACAGCCAAGGCCUCUAACAGCUUUUGUCUUGAGCUAGACUUCAGUGUCCUUACAGUUGGUAAAUGGUUUUCUAUAGAAUCAAUAAUAUUUUUUCUUUCUUUAAAUAUAUAUUUGUUAAAGUUAUACCUUUUGUUUCUCUGGGGAAAUCUGCCUCAGCUCAUUCCCAAUAAAUUAAUACUCUCGAUAGCUUAUAUUCUGGGGGGUACAGCAGGGCAGGGCGCGACCCCACCCCAGCCCCUUGUGCUGCGCUGGAGCGGCUGGCAGAAGGUCCCCAAAGGGCAGUUCUGUGCUGGGCAUAGGCCUGUGCUCUGCCAGAUGGGGAGGGGGCGGAAGAGGCUGCCCCCCUCCCGCUGCCCGCCAGGCAGGGGCCCGGGGCUGCCCCUCCUCCGCCCGCAGCAGGCUGAGCCUGGCAUGGGUGGGCGGGUGGCCCAGCAGUUAUUGCACAGGGAGCAGCAGACGGGAGCGGGCACCCAGCGGGCAGCAGCGUUCACCCAGAGCCCUUGGGCCCCCUGGCCAGGCAGUCCUCCAGGCCUGCGCCCGGGGGCAGUUGUGCUUGUGCAGGGGACGGGCAGCACGGGCCUGCCGCCCCCCGCCUGGCCGGCCGUCCCCUGCGCCUGGCCUCCGCCGGCCGCCGCCCUGCCCGCUCGCGCUGCGCCCAGAGGUGCCCACCCUGAGGUAAAGGUCAGUGUGCGAGCCGGGCCCGGGCGGCGCGGGCAGGCCCGACGUGAGCGGCCGCGUCACUCCAGCAUGGCGUCCAGCUGGUCGGCCAGGUCGUCGAACAUGCUGCCGAUGUCGUCCAGGAUGCUGCCGGUGCUCUUCUCCUCGGCCGACGAGGGGCUGCGGGCCGGCGGGCGGGCGUGGGCGGGCGUGAGCGGGCGGGGCACCCCUGCCCGCGUCCCCCCAGGACCCGACCGCGACCCCUCUGCCCCCGCCCCUUCCCCGCUGCCCCGCCCCACUCGGCCCGCCCCCGCCCCGCAGACCCCGCCAGAGCCCAUCCCUUCCCUGCAGGCCCCGCCCCCGCGGCAGGCCCCGCCCCUUAUCCGCAGGCCCCGCCCCUUCCCGCAGGCCCUUCCCCCGCCGCAGCCCCGCCCCCCGCACCUACCGCACGCCCUGCGCAUCCUCCUGCCGGAUCUUCUCUUCCACGGCUUGCAGCGCUGCCGCCAGGCACGCGCUCGUCUCCUCCAGCUUCUGCCGGGCGCUGUCUCCCGGCGAGGCGCCCUCGGGUGCGGCGGGGGCCCCGGCGGCGGCGGCGGCGGCGGCGCGCGGCGGCUUGGCGGGCACGUGCAGCGCGGGCGCACCGGGGGACGGGGGUUUGGCGGGGCUGGCGCUCAGCGAGGGCGGCGUGCUGGCCGGCUUGGCGAGGGCGGCGGGCGGCUGGCGAGCGGGCGAGGGCGCUGGCGACGGGCUGGCACUGCCCGACUGCAGCCCCGCCGCGGCCUUGGCCGGCUUGGGCGCCGUGGGCGGCGGCGGCGGCUUGGGAGACACGGGCGGCGGCGUGCCGUGGGCGCGCUUCACCUCUGCGGGGAGGAGGAGACUCGCACCGGGGGCGGGGGGCGGCGGGACACACACCUGCCCUCGCGGCGGGAGUCCUGCCGGGGCCCCGCCCCCCCCGCCCCUCCACCUCCCGCCCCCCCUUCCCCGGACUCCCCGCUGCCGCCAGGGGGCGCGCCCCUCUCUGCGUACCUGUUGGCGCACCGCUUCCAGGCCCCUCCCGGUCUGCCCCCCAGCGCCAUGCCCCUUCAGGUGUGGCCUGCCACCACCAUUGGCCCUUGA